GGUUAAGCGACUAAGCGUACACGGUGGAUGCCCUGGCAGUCAGAGGCGAUGAAGGACGUGCUAAUCUGCGAUAAGCGUCGGUGAGGUGAUAUGAACCGUUAUAACCGGCGAUUUCCGAAUGGGGAAACCCAGUGUGUUUCGACACACUAUCAUUAACUGAAUCCAUAGGUUAAUGAGGCGAACCGGGGGAACUGAAACAUCUAAGUACCCCGAGGAAAAGAAAUCAACCGAGAUUCCCCCAGUAGCGGCGAGCGAACGGGGAGGAGCCCAGAGCCUGAAUCAGUGUGUGUGUUAGUGGAAGCGUCUGGAAAGGCGCGCGAUACAGGGUGACAGCCCCGUACACAAAAAUGCACAUAUUGUGAGCUCGAUGAGUAGGGCGGGACACGUGGUAUCCUGUCUGAAUAUGGGGGGACCAUCCUCCAAGGCUAAAUACUCCUGACUGACCGAUAGUGAACCAGUACCGUGAGGGAAAGGCGAAAAGAACCCCGGCGAGGGGAGUGAAAAAGAACCUGAAACCGUGUACGUACAAGCAGUGGGAGCCUCUUUAUGGGGUGACUGCGUACCUUUUGUAUAAUGGGUCAGCGACUUAUAUUCUGUAGCAAGGUUAACCGAAUAGGGGAGCCGAAGGGAAACCGAGUCUUAACUGGGCGUUAAGUUGCAGGGUAUAGACCCGAAACCCGGUGAUCUAGCCAUGGGCAGGUUGAAGGUUGGGUAACACUAACUGGAGGACCGAACCGACUAAUGUUGAAAAAUUAGCGGAUGACUUGUGGCUGGGGGUGAAAGGCCAAUCAAACCGGGAGAUAGCUGGUUCUCCCCGAAAGCUAUUUAGGUAGCGCCUCGUGAAUUCAUCUCCGGGGGUAGAGCACUGUUUCGGCAAGGGGGUCAUCCCGACUUACCAACCCGAUGCAAACUGCGAAUACCGGAGAAUGUUAUCACGGGAGACACACGGCGGGUGCUAACGUCCGUCGUGAAGAGGGAAACAACCCAGACCGCCAGCUAAGGUCCCAAAGUCAUGGUUAAGUGGGAAACGAUGUGGGAAGGCCCAGACAGCCAGGAUGUUGGCUUAGAAGCAGCCAUCAUUUAAAGAAAGCGUAAUAGCUCACUGGUCGAGUCGGCCUGCGCGGAAGAUGUAACGGGGCUAAACCAUGCACCGAAGCUGCGGCAGCGACACUAUGUGUUGUUGGGUAGGGGAGCGUUCUGUAAGCCUGUGAAGGUGGCCUGUGAGGGUUGCUGGAGGUAUCAGAAGUGCGAAUGCUGACAUAAGUAACGAUAAAGCGGGUGAAAAGCCCGCUCGCCGGAAGACCAAGGGUUCCUGUCCAACGUUAAUCGGGGCAGGGUGAGUCGACCCCUAAGGCGAGGCCGAAAGGCGUAGUCGAUGGGAAACAGGUUAAUAUUCCUGUACUUGGUGUUACUGCGAAGGGGGGACGGAGAAGGCUAUGUUGGCCGGGCGACGGUUGUCCCGGUUUAAGCGUGUAGGCUGGUUUUCCAGGCAAAUCCGGAAAACCAAGGCUGAGGCGUGAUGACGAGGCACUACGGUGCUGAAGCGACAAAUGCCCUGCUUCCAGGAAAAGCCUCUAAGCAUCAGGUAACAUCAAAUCGUACCCCAAACCGACACAGGUGGUCAGGUAGAGAAUACCAAGGCGCUUGAGAGAACUCGGGUGAAGGAACUAGGCAAAAUGGUGCCGUAACUUCGGGAGAAGGCACGCUGAUAUGUAGGUGAAGCGACUUGCUCGUGGAGCUGAAAUCAGUCGAAGAUACCAGCUGGCUGCAACUGUUUAUUAAAAACACAGCACUGUGCAAACACGAAAGUGGACGUAUACGGUGUGACGCCUGCCCGGUGCCGGAAGGUUAAUUGAUGGGGUUAGCGGUAACGCGAAGCUCUUGAUCGAAGCCCCGGUAAACGGCGGCCGUAACUAUAACGGUCCUAAGGUAGCGAAAUUCCUUGUCGGGUAAGUUCCGACCUGCACGAAUGGCGUAAUGAUGGCCAGGCUGUCUCCACCCGAGACUCAGUGAAAUUGAACUCGCUGUGAAGAUGCAGUGUACCCGCGGCAAGACGGAAAGACCCCGUGAACCUUUACUAUAGCUUGACACUGAACAUUGAGCCUUGAUGUGUAGGAUAGGUGGGAGGCUUUGAAGUGUGGACGCCAGUCUGCAUGGAGCCGACCUUGAAAUACCACCCUUUAAUGUUUGAUGUUCUAACGUUGGCCCGUAAUCCGGGUUGCGGACAGUGUCUGGUGGGUAGUUUGACUGGGGCGGUCUCCUCC
rnacentral:rRNA from 1 species